rnacentral:rRNA from 1 species
UACGUAGGGGGCUAGCGUUGUCCGGAAUCAUUGGGCGUAAAGAGCGCGUAGGCGGCCCGGUAAGUCCGCUGUAAAAGUCCAGGGCUCAACCCUGGAAGGCCGGUGGAUACUGUCGGGCUCGAGUCCGGAAGAGGCGAGUGGAAUUCCUGGUGUAGCGGUGGAAUGCGCAGAUAUCAGGAGGAACACCAAUGGCGAAGGCAGCUCGCUGGGACGGUACUGACGCUGAGGCGCGAAAGCGUGGGGAGCAAACAGG